rnacentral:lncRNA from 1 species
CCAGGGGACCCGGCGUCCCUUGGGUCCAGGAAGUCUUAUACUGUCUCCUCUCACGGCCCCGACAGAAACGGUUUCUGAGGAGUAGAAGUGUCCUAAGUGGAUUGGAAAUUACAAAUGCCGGAAAGAACCUAGGGAUGGAAAGCAGCCCUCAACUCAGCCCACCAGCACCCAGUUGAAAUAAACAGCCAUGUUGCUCACAGAAAGCCUGUUUGGUGAUCUCUUCACACGGACACAUGAAACAUUUGGUGCCAAAGACCCGGGUCAGUGGGACUCCUUUUGGAGACCAGUCCCCUGUCCUCACCCUCACUCCGUGAAGAGAUCCACCUACGACCUCAGGUCCUCAGACCAACCAGCCCAAGGAACAUCUCACCGAUUUUAAAUCAGGACCCCACUAGAAAUUGGACUGUCCAACUGGCCCAAGGCUCUGAUCGACUCCUUCCCAGAUCUCCUCGGCUUAGCAGCUGAAGACUGACACUGCCUGAUCGCCUCGGAAGCCCCUUGGACCAUCACGGACGCUGAGCUUCGGGUAACUCUCACAGUGAAGGACAAGAAUGUCAGGCCUCUGAGCCCAAGCUAAGCCAUCAUAUCCCCAGUGACCUGCGCGUAUACAUCCAGAUGGCCUGAAGCAACUGAAGAUCCACAGAAGUGAAAAUAUCCUUAACUGAUGACAUUCCACCAUUGUGAUUUGUUUCUGCCCUACCCUAACUGAUCAAUGUUCUUUAUAAUCUCUCCGACCCUUAAGAAGUUUCUUUGUAAUUCUCCCCACCCUUGAGAAUGUACUUUGUGAGAUCCACCGCCUGCCCCCAAAACAUUGCUCUUAACUCCACUGCCUAUCCCAAAACCUAUAAGAACCAAUGAUAAUCCCACCACCCUUUGCUGACUCCUUUUUCGGACUCAGCCCGCCUGCACUCAGGUGAAAUAAACAGCCAUGUUGCUCACAG